UACGGGGGGGGCGAGCGUUGUUCGGAAUUACUGGGCGUAAAGGGUUCGUAGGUGGCCUGCUAAGUCAGACGUGAAAUCCCUCAGCUCAACUGGGGAACUGCGUCUGAGACUGGCGGGCUUGAGUGCAGGAGAGGAAAGCGGAAUUCCAGGUGUAGCGGUGAAAUGCGUAGAUAUCUGGAGGAACACCGGUGGCGAAGGCGGCGUUCUGGACUGCUACUGACACUGAUGAACGAAAGCCAGGGGAGCAAAC
rnacentral:rRNA from 1 species